UCCUCCCAGGCAGGAUGCAAGCCAUCUCGCCUUCUGGCCGGAGAUGGAUGCAUUGCCCUCCCUGCAGACACGCAGGCACACACGCAGAGCGCUGGGAAGUACACAUUUACUGGACUGCAUGCCGACUGCCUUGAAGAAACUGUAGCUAACCACCUUAUUAGUAUUCUUGCCUCCACCGUGUCUCACUUGCAGCAUCAGAGAGCUGAGCGAAAUGCAGUUGAACAGGGACAGACACGGCUCUGGCAAUCAUCUUUAUGCAGCCUGCCGAAUGUUGGGGGUGGGGGAUGCAGCACAUCGAGAUUAAUAACCUUGCCAUAAUCCGGGGCACCCUGCAAGCAGACACCUCUGCUGACUGACCCACUCCUGGCUUGAUGCGUCUGCUUGGGGGACAGGGAACCGGAAUCUACCUAGUCCUGGGGGGGGAGGGGUCCCCUGAUUUGGGAUGUUCUUUUGAUCCUACACCGAUCUGGGAAGGUAACAGUGAGCCGAACCAUCUGCAGCACACAGCAGCUACUGGAGGUUACUACUGACAGUUUUCAUCGCACUGGUCUGUGUGAGCGUGAGUGUUUGAGUGCGGGGUGCCUGCUUUUGCAUGAAAGAGAAUGCGUGAGUGUCCGCGAGUGCGUGUGUCUGUGUGACAACCAUAGCAGGUAUAUCGUACAGUAGAUUUCAACGCGUGAAGUAUUCCCUGGGCACUUGGGCUCACAGUCGGUAGCCCCUCCAGCGCGCACCACCCCCUUUCUUUUCCACUCCCCCCUUCUUCUUUCUGCCUUUGAUGAGUUUUUGGCUUACUUUUUGGCGAAGUCUCUUGGACACGUUUUGCUCGUGCUGGAUGAUCAGAUAAAUGGAACCUUUGAAAACUGAUUAUUUUUCUCCUCUGUGACUUAAAAAAAAAGAAAAAAGAAGAAAAAAGAGGAGUGCAAGACACGCUAGAGGAUUUUAAAUUUUCCUUUGGAGAAAUUUGAGGGUCCACACAGAAGAAACCAAUGAAGUGUUUACUGCCAUUAUCCCUAUUUGAUGGAGAGGAUACUGAGGCUCACAGAGAAUUAAUAAUUUGUCCAAGAUCAUCUAAUGUCAAGUAAUGAAAAGUGAAUGACCUGAAAGCACACACACCAGCUGGGACCAGCCUUUUAUUGAGCGGAAGACUUACAGAGACAGAGCGAUAGCAGAAAUGGUUCUCUGUCUUGCCAGGCUGCAAGAUCACCCGGUGAAAGUGGGACCAAAUAAACUGGGAACACUGACCCACUGAAUGCAUGAGUUACGGGCGCACGGACGUAUCUCGAUUACCAACAUGGAAACAUCCUGAAACUACUUUGGAGUCUCAGUCUCAAUCAAUUGGCUGGAUUCAAGUUUAGCAAACAGGGAAACUGGUCCAUGGACAAUUUGCCACAGGUGUAAAAGAAAUAUCAUCUUCAGAAAUCCAGAACUCUUCAAAUUCUCCGGGUUUCCUCAGGAAGAUCAGGACCUAUUGGAGAAAUUUUGAUAAG